AUUUGCACAUUCUCCGGGGCUGACCAGAUAGAGCCGCCGCUUCCAGCUCGCGGGGACAGCUAAACCUCCACGGGAGCAGCUUUUUGCACGCAGAAACGCUGGGAAUAUUUUGAUCCAACAAACAGAGGCGCCUGUGGUCCGUUGUGCGCUGACGUUUCUCUUCCCGUGUGAACGUAUUUCCUGUGACACUUGGCUGAAGUUUAGAAAAGUUCUUCACAAAUAAAGUUAGUAGCUACUGUGCAACUAACGCCCGUUUUCUCUGGUUCAAUUUGCCCCCACAGCACCCACUGACGCCAAAAUGUGACCACACUGGUUAAUUGCCAAUUAGUGCGUUAUUUUCAUUAUCCGUCUGUUCCAAUAAGGAGCGCAAAUAAACAAAGCUGGUGCUACGUCAUGUACGGCGGUGAGAGAGAGAGAGAAAAGGACCGGAUGAGAGAAAGAAAGAAAAAGGUGUUGACUGUAAAAGGUAAGAGGGGAAGAGAAAGAAGGCACGAAAGAUAGGGUCUUGUUUUAUUUUUUGCUCCCUCGUUGACCCCGGUUUGGCAGAGGCUGGGCAGAAAAGGCAGCACACCCCUCCCUGGCAAGCACAGGAGAGCCUCGUGCGCCUGCUGCUCCAUCCUGGAUUAAUCUCACAAUACACUGAACGGGACAGCGCAAAUAACGGCGCUGAGAGCGGGGUCCAGUCCACACACUCACCGAUCGAGCUUGAGACUGGAUGUGGCACUGGUUCCCUGCGGUAUCUGGUCACGUUCGUCCAGCGUCGGGAUGGAGAUGCAGCCGCUGCUUCUUUUGCAUUCUUGCUCGCCGAGCACCGUCUGUGCCUUUGCAGAGCAGCUGUGUGAUGCUGUCGGGACGGGGCGCACAAUCCACUCCGUCCCACGCCGGCCACGCCAGGGCACCAAGACUCUGCACUGUAAAAACCACCGAUCCAAAGCACUUUAAUGCAGCGGGGGACUUCCUGGCAGGGCUGGGAGCCUGUAUCGGAGCUGUCCAAUCAGUGUAUUUACACGGGUUGUUAGCGACAGUUAAUGAGGGUUCCUCCCCGGGCCGGUAGAGAAAGGCGCCUCAACAUUAAGAUUUACCUUGUGUCAACUCGUUACUUCUAAUGAACCUCCAUGCAAAAGGCUGCUCGUACUCAAUGGAGCCGUGCGCCCGGAUCUUGUGUGUGAGACCCUGGAAGAGUGGCGCUGCAAAACGGCCUCCCUCUCCCCCUUUUCUUCCGCUCGCUCGGGGAGAGGUGCUUUUUCUCCGCAGGUUCAGGCUCCGCGAUGCGUGCCCGCGCGUGCGUGCCCGUGCGUGCGCGCGCGCGCGCGCGCGUGUGUGUGUGUGUGUGUGACUUGUCGAUCUUGGGACUUGGUUCUAUGGUUGAAGUUAGUAUAAAGUUGGAUUAAGGGUUGGGGUGUAGACAUUUAGCUGUGAUGACAAUGAAUAAUUCCUUAAGUCAAUGGUUGUCCUUAUUAUAACCGUAGACAGACCAGUGUGUGCGCGUGUGUGCUGUGUGAUGAUGGGCAGCUCCUGUAGUCACCUACUUUAUUGCUGAUAAAAUGCUCAUUAUGCGUUGAAGUGUGACGUAAGGGUAAAUCUUUGUUGUCCAACUUCAUCAUGACAAGCGCGUUAAGAGACGGGUCCGAGCAGUGACGCAUGCCUCCGUGCCCGUAUCACGAGCCUGAAGGGUCCUCUGGUGUUUGGGGAACGAGGCAUGACAGUUCAGCUUACUGCCUCUGCACAAGUACGAUCAUUUAGGAACCGGCCCACAUCCCGCAACAAAGCGCCGCACUGCUGCGUUUCCCGUCCCUCAUUUGGCCCCCGGUGCGGCUUGUUGAGCCGCAUCAGCAACACAUCACUGCCCCUCAAUUCAGGUAGGAACCGGAGGAGUUCGGCGGAUCCCUGAAGUGGACUCCCCUCCUGCUCCCCGCGCCCACAGAGACACCACUUAAAAAUCAAUUAGGCUCCUCUGGUCCUGCGAGUCGUCAUUUCCGGACCAGGUGCUUCCACCAAUUUUAGGGAGUUAUUUAAAAGUGAAAUCCCAGGAGGUUCAUGAUUGAAUAAUGUAG
rnacentral:lncRNA from 1 species